AUGCCCCGAUGGGUUGAACCUAUGCCUUCCCUAAUCUGUGUGAACCCAAAAUAUUUCAUGGGUCAUACUUAUCUGGUAUUGCACCAGGUAAAACUUUCAACAACUAAUGUCAUUUUCGAAACAAGAGAAGAGAAUGGGAGGUUAUACAUUGGAGAAGUGGGAGUCGACCUUGAACUUUGUGUUCAUGCCCAUGGACCCGACGUGGAACUUAUCAUGGCAGCUUCUUGUAAUAAUAAUAAUGCCCUUGUUAUAAGUUCAUCGGGUAUCUAUGUUUGGUUCUUUGCAACCGUGGUUCCGGCCAUGAUUGUUCUCCUUUGA
rnacentral:rRNA from 1 species